AUAGCCCCAGCGGGCGCCGGGCGGGCGAGCAGCUCUUCGGCCCUUCCCGGACAGCGACGCAGUCGCAGCGCGCGCCCUAACACAGAUGUGGGAAGAUAAAUGAAGGGGUCUAGAUGUAAAUGUCAGUGGAAAGGAGAGCUACCAUCACUAAGUAGAGACGGGGUUUCACCCUGUUAGCCAGGAUGGCUUCGAUCUCCUGACCUCGUGAUCUGCCCGCCUUGGCCUCCCAAAGUGCUGGGAUUACAGGGAUGAGCCACCACGCCCGGCCAAUAAAACUCAACUUUUAAAACUUCAGAAGGAAGGAAUUGAACAAAACUUGCCUUGUGAACUUUUUGGCUUAUAAUAAAUUAUGCUGGACUUCAAAGGAGUCAAACAACUAGGCUAAAAACUGGGUUGAUCAUGUGUUAUA
rnacentral:lncRNA from 1 species